rnacentral:misc_RNA from 1 species
AGAAACUGGUAUAUCAUGGGACUCACUGCCCUCAAGCUUGGUGAAGCUUGGAAAGGAGGUUGUAAAGCAAAGAGACACUGCUCUGAUUGCAGCUACUGAUGCUUUGCAAGAAGCAUGUGCAGCUGAGAGGUUGCUCAAUUCCUUGAGGUGCGCUUUCUGAUACAAAUCUUACUUUAUUCAAGAUGAGUACGGGUGGACUACGUAGAAAAUUU